rnacentral:rRNA from 1 species
GACAGAGGGUGCAAGCGUUGUUCGGAAUUAUUGGGCGUAAAGGGCGCGUAGGCGGUCUAGUAAGUUUAUCGUUAAAUCUCAGAGCUCAACUCUGUUCAUGCGAUAAAUACUGUUAGGCUUGAAUAUGGGAGAGGCAGAUGGAAUUCCUAGUGUAGAGGUAAAAUUCGUAGAUAUUAGGAGGAACACCAAAGGCGAAGGCAGUCUGCUGGAACAUUUAUUGACGCUGAGGCGCGAAAGCGUGGGGAUCAAACAGG